rnacentral:rRNA from 1 species
GUGGGGAAUAUUGGACAAUGGGGGGAACCCUGAUCCAGCCAUGCCGCGUGUGUGAAGAAGGCCUUUUGGUUGUAAAGCACUUUAAGCGAGGAGGAGGCUACUAGUAUUAAUACUACUGGAUAGUGGACGUUACUCGCAGAAUAAGCACCGGCUAACUCUGUGCCAGCAGCCGCGGUAAUACAGAGGGUGCGAGCGUUAAUCGGAUUUACUGGGCGUAAAGCGUGCGUAGGCGGCUGAUUAAGUCGGAUGUGAAAUCCCUGAGCUUAACUUAGGAAUUGCAUUCGAUACUGGUCAGCUAGAGUAUGGGAGAGGAUGGUAGAAUUCCAGGUGUAGCGGUGAAAUGCGUAGAGAUCUGGAGGAAUACCGAUGGCGAAGGCAGCCAUCUGGCCUAAUACUGACGCUGAGGUACGAAAGCAUGGGGAGCAAACAGGAUUAGAUACCCUAGUAGUCC